CAGCCGCCACGGGAAUACGUAGGGGGCUAGCGUUGUUCGGAAUUACUGGGCGUAAAGCGCACGUAGGCGGAUACUUAAGUUAGGGGUGAAAUCCCAGGGCUCAACCCUGGAACUGCCUUUAAUACUGGGUAUCUUGAGUUCGAGAGAGGUAAGUGGAAUUCCGAGUGUAGAGGUGAGAUUCGUAGAUAUUCGGAGGAACACCAGUGGCGAAGGCGGCUUACUGGCUCGAUACUGACGCUGAGGUGCGAAAGCGUGGGGAGCAAACAGGAUUAGAUACCCGUGUAGUCCCUGUCUCUUAUAC
rnacentral:rRNA from 1 species